rnacentral:rRNA from 1 species
UGUGCCUGAGGUGUUGGGUUAAGUCCCGCAACGAGCGCAACCCCUACUGUUAGUUGCCAGCAUGUAAUGAUGGGGACUCUAACAGGACUGCCUGCGCAAGCAGAGAGGAAGGAGGGGAUGACGUCAAGUCAUCAUGGCCCUUACGCCCAGGGCUACACACGUGCUACAAUGGGGAGUACAAAGGGUUGCUACACGGUAACGUGAUGCCAAUCUCAAAAAGCUCUUCUCAGUUCGGAUUGAGGUCUGCAACUCGACCUCAUGAAGGUGGAAUCGCUAGUAAUCGCGCAUCAGCAAUGGCGCGGUGAAUACGUUCCCGGACCUUGUACACAC